UAUGUGAUCGUCUCUCGCAUAUCAAUAAGCGGAGGAAAAGAAACUAACAAGGAUUCCCCUAGUAACGGCGAGUGAAGCGGGAAGAGCUCAAAUUUGAAAUCUUAAAGGGUUUCCCUUUACGAAUUGUAGUUUAAAGAAGUGUUUUCUGUUGAGGUUUUGGUAAAAGUUCUUUGGAAUAGGACAUCAUAGAGGGUGAGAAUCCCGUAUUUGACCUUUACUUUCAACUUUGUGAUACACUUUCAAAGAGUCGGAUUGUUUGGGAAUGCAGUCCAAAAUGGGUGGUAAAUUUCAUCUAAAGCUAAAUAUUGGCGAGAGACCGAUAGCGAACAAGUACCGUGAGGGAAAGAUGAAAAGAACUUUGAAAAGAGAGUUAAACAGUACUGUGAAAUUGUCAAAAGGGAAGCGUUUGACACCAGUGUUGUUUUUCUGAAAAUCAAUUAAAGAACUGUUUAUGCUAAGUUGUUUAGACUUUAUCAGCUAACUGUUUAGUUUUGAGCUUUUCUUUAAUGCACUUUUCAGUUAACAAGUCAACAUCAAUUUCUUUUGCUGUAAAAAAGCUUGAGGAAGGUGGCUUGAGAUUCGUCUUAAGUGUUUAUAGCCUCUUGCCUAUGCAGUCGGAGAGAUUGAGGUCCGCAGCGUAGAUCCUUCGGGGCUAAAUGCAUUUGUGCUAAGUUAUAACAUUUUAUAGACAACUUGUUGACUAUGAUUUGUCUUGUAGCUUACUCGCUUAUGUUAUUUUACCUACGCUUAGGAUGUUGAAGUCAUCGUAUCGCGC
rnacentral:rRNA from 1 species